ACGUAUGACAGAAAAGUGCAACUAUAUACGUUCGAACAGCAAAAUCUGUAAGACAUGACAUUGACUUCAAAAUUCCAUUCCUGAGAACACCUAGUAGACUGACCUGAAAGGCAGCCCUGUUACCUGAGAGAUGUCGGACAAAGAAGCCGUUAAAGCUUUAUCUGCCGUUGAAGAUUGCUUUGAACGAGUAACUGGGCCUUGGGGAUUCAAAGAGAUGAAUGAGAACAUGGACCGACCUCUAAACUCAUCUGUUGAUACGCUGUUCAACAAUGCACAAACCUCAACGGUGGAGAGACAAAGUGGUGCGGGGAAGCAGGGUUGUAUAAGGGUGAAUAUGAGCGCAGCGUGUUAAGGGCAAAGGCUGAGUUGCCCAACAUCAAAGCUGGUAUUGGGGGAUCGAUGGAAAAAGGAUUUAGUGGGCACAUUGACUACGCAUUAGGGAAGGCUGAAAUAGACAUAGGCGUGUUGAAGGUGGAGGGCAGCUUGCCCAGCGCUAGUGGUGCUUUUCAGGCAACAACCGAUGGAGCAAAAGUAAUGCUCAAGGUCAAAGGUGCCUCUGCAUCCGUUGGUCCGGUGAAGUGGCCAGUGCAUCAAGCAGUUGAUACAGGCUUUGAAGUAGGCAAGGAUGGGGUCACUGUACAAGUUCUGGGUACAGGCGUCUCUGUCAAGGAUGGAAAUGUGGGUCUUUCUCUCUUCGGCAGCAAGUUGGAGUUCAACCUCUGGUGAAACACCACCGCUCAGAGCUCAGAGGUCCACUGCUUUGGAGACUGUAUUCAUUCCAACUGUUAAGUUCUCCUACAGCCUACAGACAAGGCUUCAGGGCCAUAUAUGUGCUUGGUUACUUUUACACUCUUAAUGAAAACAGCUGUAUGUAUUGUACUUAAUAAGUGGACUGUAUUUACAAUAUAUACAAUAUA